CCCUUAGAUGUCCUGGGCCGCACGCGCGUUACACUGAUGCAUUCAACGAGCUUAUAACCUUGGCCGAGAGGCCUGGGCAAUCUUGUUAACGUGCAUCGUGAUAGGGAUAGAUUAUUGAAAUUAUUAAUCUUGAACGAGGAAUUCCUAGUAAACGCAGAUCAUCAAUCUGCAUUGAUUACGUCCCUGCCCUUUGUACACACCGCCCGUCGCACCUACCGAUUGAAUGGUCCGGUGAAAUCUCGGGAUUGUGGCCAGUUCACUUUAUUGGGAGUUGGCUGCGAGAACUUGCUUAAACCUUAUCAUUUAGAGGAAGGUGAAGUCGUAACA
rnacentral:rRNA from 1 species